CCCAAGCCCACAUUCCGGAGCUGCUCCUACAUUUGUGGCUGCAGUAAAGGACCAGGACAGAAGAACUCCACAAUGUCGAUUCCGUAGUGUUGUUCUUAUUUCUCACUUGUUUCCCUACGUAAACCCAAUAGGUCUAGCCAGAAAGAUGGUCCAGUAGAAUAUCUUCUGCUAUGAACCAGGACAACAAAAAGGAAGGAAAGC